UGAGGAAUAUUGCGCAAUGGGGGAAACCCUGACGCAGCAACGCCGCGUGAGUGAGGAAGGUUUUCGGACCGUAAAGCUCUGUCGAGCGGGAAGAAAUGCAUGGUGGCUAAUAUCCAUCAUGCUUGACGGUACCGCUAAAGGAAGCACCGGCUAACUCCGUGCCAGAAGCCGCGGUAAUACGGGGGGUGCGAGCGUUGGUCGGCAUUAUUGGGCGUAAAGAGCGUGUAGGCGGCUGAAUAAGUCAGACGUGAAAUCCCUGGGCUUAACCCAGGACCUGCAUUUGAAACUAUUCGGCUAGAGUAGGGGAGAGGAAAGUGGAAUUCCUGGUGUAGAGGUGAAAUUCGUAGAUAUCAGGAGGAACACCGGUGGCGAAGGCGACUUUCUGGCCCUAUACUGACGCUGAGACGCGAGAGCGUGGGUAGCAAACA
rnacentral:rRNA from 1 species